rnacentral:rRNA from 1 species
AGAGUUUGAUCCUGGCUCAGAGCGAACGCUGGCGGCAUGCUUAACACAUGCAAGUCGCACGGGCAGGGGUAACUCUGUCAGUGGCGGACGGGUGAGUAACGCGUAGGUAUCUAUCCUUGGGUGGGGGACAACUGUGGGAAACUACAGCUAAUACCGCAUGAUAACUGAGGUUUAAAGGCGCAAGUCGCCUGGGGAGGAGCCUGCGUACGAUUAGCUAGUUGGUGGGGUAAAGGCCUACCAAGGCUGCGAUCGUUAGCUGGUCUGAGAGGAUGAUCAGCCACAUUGGGACUGAGACACGGCCCAAACUCCUACGGGAGGCAGCAGUGGGGAAUAUUGGACAAUGGGCGAAAGCCUGAUCCAGCAAUGCCGCGUGUGUGAAGAAGGUCUUCGGAUUGUAAAGCACUUUCGACGGGGACGAUGAUGACGGUACCCGUAGAAGAAGCCCCGGCUAACUUCGUGCCAGCAGCCGCGGUAAUACGAAGGGGGCUAGCGUUGCUCGGAAUGACUGGGCGUAAAGGGCGCGUAGGCGGAUGACACAGUCAGAUGUGAAAUUCCCGGGCUUAACCUGGGGGCUGCAUUUGAUACGUGUUGUCUAGAGUGAGGAAGAGGGUUGUGGAAUUCCCAGUGUAGAGGUGAAAUUCGUAGAUAUUGGGAAGAACACCGGUGGCGAAGGCGGCAACCUGGUCCUUGACUGACGCUGAGGCGCGAAGGCGUGGGGAGCAAACAGGAUUAGAUACCCCUGUAGUCC